rnacentral:rRNA from 1 species
UUAAGUGAAGAGUUUGAUCAUGGCUCAGAUUGAACGCUGGCGGCAGGCCGAAGACAUGCAAGGCGAACGGUAGCACAGAGAGCUGGCUCUUGGGUGACGAGGGGCGGACAGGUGAGUAAUGUCGGGGAAACUGCCCGAUGGAG